CUGCUAUUUGGUUCACACACACUUAAGUAGUUAAGCAUUAGUAGUACACUUGUAAUCGUUGUUGUUGUGGCGCGCAGUGAGUUCAUCGCAAAAAAUAAUACACACACAUACGGUGGGGGAGCGAGCGAGACGGGGCGCGAUGGCGAGAGAGGGGGCGUGAGAGAACGACAACGCCCCCUCUCCCUCACACUCCUGCACUGGCGAAAAAUCAGGGACUGAAUAUUAAAUCCAGGAAAAAUUAUUGGUUAUAGGGUUUUUAUAUGUUUAAAACAAAAAGCAAAAAAAAGUACUAUUUUUAGAGUUAAUUUUUUUAGAAACUUGAGAAAUCUGCGAGUACUAUCUACCUUAAUAAACUAUAAAGGCUAUUAAUAUAACUACUCUUCUUAUAUAGAUUUUGUACAAAUAAAAUUAAAAUGUUAUAUAUAUUUCUCAAUUCCAUCUCUGAGUCAUCGCACAUAUUUUCUGUCUGUGUAGACCGCUAAACGCAAUUAAAACAAAUUUGCGCCAGUGUGUGUGCGUGUUAAAAUAGCACCUUGUUUGUACAUAAAUUAGCCUUAGUCGCUGUUACUUAUACUGUACACACCGUAGGCAUUAUACAAUAUAUGCACACCUCGCCUGCGCCAGUGUAUAUAUUUUGAAAUUAUAAUAAAAACAAAUCAAAGGCAACGCCGCACUGCAGUUGCCCUCGCCUCCUGCCGCUCUCCGCCUCUCCUGCUCUCUCUCCCUCUCUGUUUUCGCUUUUCAAGUGCAAAAAUGAAUUUUCCGCUAUUUUGCUCCUCCCGUGUGCCCCUGUAUCUUUAAUUUGCUCGGCCAAUUGAGGUUGCCUUUACGAGUUAGUGGUAAAUCUUUAGACUUUUUUUGAACUUCUACUUAACAACCUUUUUGUAGGGGGUAAGAAAAAAAAACGUUUAAUAAUGCUCCUGAGCCAAAACGAGCUGGAAACUUUUUUUAUUUGCCUAAAACUUGUUUUCUCGAGCUUGUAACACUCGUGUUUUGUUGAUGGUCUUGUUCUUGUUCCACUCGCUACAGGUCACGCUCGAUAGGGAGUACCUCUCGGGCUAGGGCGUUGACUAUGUGGAUUUUAAAGAUGUAGGAAUGGAACACUUCUGGCUACCCACUAUAACUAAUUAACCCAGUUUAAAGUGCUCAUAAUGUUGAUUAAUGGUCAUUUUGUAGAAGUACAAGGUAUUGUCUUAUAAAAUAGAAACAAAAUUAUACAAUUAUUAAAAAAACAAAAAUUAUUACAAAA